CCUGGCUCCAACAUCCCAGGGAAUUGUGUCACUCCCAUUGAGCAGCUGUGGGGCCCUCUCCCACAUGGCCCAGGUCCACCACUCUGUCAAAGGUCGCACAGCCCAGACAAAAACAGGACACAGCAGUGUGUGAAUGAGCCGGGCUUUCUCCUUCCCUCCACGUAAUAGAAGGUGCCUGAGGUUGUUGAAACACAGUCCAUUUCUCCUGGGAAUGACAAGAAUUUGAGGGAUGCUGACUUUCAAGGAAUACUGCAUGACAGGCAUCAAGAUAAACCUGAUGAAGAAAACAUAGGCCAGAAUCUGGGAAUCGGGAGCAAAGUAAUACAGCUUCGGGGACAGGCACGUAAUGAGGUCAUGAUGUAGGAGACUCCCUGCAGGACUGGCGGCCCCUGUUCCCUGGGUUGUUCUGGCUCUUUCAGGUGAGAGAGAAGGAUACAGACAGGAAAUGGCACUUCCUAGAAGGGCAACCCUCUGUUCCUGGGGUGUGUGGCAUCUUCCAGCGUUGGGUCUGAGGUUCUAGAUUUAUAUGUUAACAAGCUGAAUUCCUGCUUCAUCUGGAGGACUGCACAGUGUAUCUGAGAGAGGAUUUUCAGGAGGCCAGAAAAUCAAGCUGGAGGGAUUUUCAGCGUGUUGGGAGAUUGCUACCUGUUUUAAGUCAGGCCAUUGCCACGUCUUUUUCCCCACCUUGGAGACUUCAGCAAAUUGCUCAAAUGUCGGUGUGCUCUCAUGAACAGAAACGAUGGCACGGUGGGUCCUGGUCUCAAGACUUCCUCUCAAUGAUUCAGAGGUCUUGGGGGUUUUUUGUCUGAAUAUCAGGCAAAGAGGAAGGACGGCUACAAUGGAGGAGUCUCCUACCACGCUUGUGGUCGUCACUGUAGUGCUCAGUUGAAUGGUGUGUCCAUUGGGGUUGGAGUCCCCAUCCUGUUCUGGGUCCUGGCCCCCCACAGGCUCCAGGGACAUAACCCUUCCAGUUCAGGAUCAUGUGCUGGGGCACUGUUCCCUGAGGUGGGACUCUGGGCUGUAACAGCUGCUUUUGAAGCAUGUUCCAGCUUCAACCACGUGCUUGGACGACACCAGCUCUUCCCACAUACUCUUCCCCAGCUCUUGUGUUGAGUUUGGCUUCCACCUUCCUCCAGCUGGGUCUCGCUAUGUUGCCCAAGCCAUUCUGGAGCUCCUGCGCUUAAGUGAUCCUCCUGCCUCAGCCUCCCAAGUAACUGGAAUUAUAAAUGUGAGCCACUGUGCCCAGCAAUUACAAAAUUUUUGGAAUGCAAUUGGGAAGUACAGCUGAAAAACUUCAGCAACGUGGGCUGUUUGAUUGUACAAUCGCACUUCUUGGAAUUUAUCCUACAGAAAUCAGUAGUCAAGUUCACAAAAACUGACAAUAGCCAUUACAGAGAAGCAGAAGAAAGGGAAAUAAAAACAUUCAAACCUACCAACAGGAGAUUGGACAAAUAAAUCAUGUUAUAACUAUACAAUGGGCUAUUAUGUAACCAUUAAAAUGAUCAUCUAUUCU
rnacentral:lncRNA from 1 species